UCCGUGUUUUAUAGAGGAGGUACUUACUUCUGAAGCUAAGUACCCUGUCCAAGCUAACAUAGCUAAUAAGUAGCAGAUCCAGUAACCUAGGCAGUAUGGCUCCUCUGUUUCCUUCACCAUGUACCUUUGGGCAGUACAGAAAUAGAAACGAUCACUCUGAUAGCAAAUACAGUGUUUAGUUUUCCUUUCAGCUUAUUGUUUUGUGCCUCCCUCUAUAAGGUUACACUGGGAAGAAAAUAAGUAAAUGAACUGAGUGUCCAUUUAUCCACAUCUAACAUUAAUUGUUACAUGCCCUGAAAACAUAGGAUAAAGACUUAUUUCAGAAAACAAUAUGUACGUAAGUGGCCACUAGAGAUAGUUUUCUAUAUUGUUAGUAUUCAUUCCUGGGACAUGUAUUUAGAGACUUCUGUGCUCCGGGCCUGGCAAAACAAAAAUGAAUAAAACGCGACACUUAUUUUCAAGAAUCUCAUGGCUCCUUCUUCUGUGAUAGUCUUUUAAGUCCUGUGCUAUUUACGAGAGGCGGUUCUUUCCUUCAGAAACUUACAGUGUCCCUUCUGUAUUAGGAUCUUAGUGCAACAUUGCUCUGCAAACUUGGACCAGGGCGGAGCGAGGUAGUGGAGGAGCUGUACCAGCAUCUACAGCAAAAGGAAAGGAUGCUGCAGGACCUUCUGAGUGAUCGAAACAAACAAGUGGUGGAACAUGAAGGAGAUUCAAGGCCUGCUUCAGUCUAUGAACUCCAGGGAGCAGGAAAGCCAAGUUGCUGCAGAGAAGAUGGUGCAAGCCUCAAUGGAAAGAAAUGCAGAAUUACAGACCCUGCGCCAAUAUUUGGAAGGGAGAGACUUCAUGAUGUCCCAAGCACCCAUCUCUAACCAACGAGCUGAAGUUACCUCCAUUGCCCUCCCCCUUGGAGAACAGACUGAUCAAGUAAGAACUAUAGACUUAGAUAAUUCAUGCAGAAUGGGUUUCCUUUUUACAUUUGAGGUGUAAGUUUGAUAAUUUUAAUAUGAAAUUGUGAGAAUAUUCUCAGUGCUGUCAUUGUGAUCAUAGUUCCUGCAUCUUCCUAACUCCCCCAGUUUUUUAGGGCUCAGUGCAGAUACCUUCCAUAGAUGAUGGUACUUCAUUGACUGCCAAAGAGGAUGCCAGCAUACCCAGAUCCACAUUAGGAGACUUGAACACAGUGGCAGGGCUGGAAAAGAACUGAGUAAUGCCAAAGAGGAGCUUGAACGCAUGGCUAAAAAAGAAAGAGAAAGUCAGGACCUGCAAAUACAACUGGUUAUCCUGAAGACAUACCAGCUGUGGAACGCCUGACCCAGGAAGUAUUACUUCUUUGGGAAAAAGUUGCUUCAGUAGAAUCCCAGGAUCAAGAAAUUUCAGGAAACCAAAGACAACAGUUGCUGCUGAUGCUAGAAGGACUAGCAGAUGAACAGAGUUGGCUCAGUGAGGACUUACAGCAGAG